rnacentral:rRNA from 1 species
UAGGGAAUAUUGGUCAAUGGAUGCAAGUCUGAACCAGCCAUGCCGCGUGCAGGAAGAAGGCCUUAUGGGUUGUAAACUGCUUUUGCCAGGGGAUAAAAUGAGCAUGCGUGCUUAAUUGAAGGUACCUGGUGAAUAAGCCACGGCUAACUACGUGCCAGCAGCCGCGGUAAUACGUAGGUGGCAAGCGUUGUCCGGAUUUAUUGGGUUUAAAGGGUGCGUAGGCGGUCUUUUAAGUCAGUGCUGAAAUACUCCAGCUUAACUGGAGGGGUGGCAUUGAUACUGGAAGACUCGAGUGUAGUCGAAGUAGGCGGAAUUGACGGUGUAGCGGUGAAAUGCUUAGAUAUCGUCAAGAACACCGAUAGUGAAGACAGCUUACUAGGCUACAACUGACGCUGAGGCACGAAAGUGUGGGGAUCAAA